CAAAGUGGGAGGGCUAAUUGUAUAACUAGUGAAUAAAAAGGGUUAAUUGAGAAAUUAACAAAACAAAAACACAAACACGGUUGUGUUCGUGCGAACCAGGGGAGGAAGAAAGGGGAGCCAAAAACCCUAACUGCUAGAUAUCAAGAAAUUGAAGCCUAAAUCACAAGAAAAUUCGAUGCAUGGGUCCUCUUUUUCGAAAAUCUAACCCUAACUAAUGAAGUGGAACGUGUCAAGGAGAGCUCAAGCAUAGGAGGAUAACGGGUCAAGAUAAGGCAAGGUGACAAAUACACUUAUUGGAAUACUCAAGGUUAUGAAUGUCGGACUUUCGAAGUGUUGAUAUAAUAAUGAAACGGUUGAAUGUUGAAAGGAUAAUCGGAUUGAAGUAACUUAUGCGGUUAGAAUAUGCUAUGGACGUUUUAGUUUAUACAAUAUUAUAUGUUUGGUCGUCACCAUCUACUAACAGGUAAUUCCUCAAUUUUGGCGACUUGGAGAAUCGGAGCGAGCGCGUGUUCGUGUUAUGCGAUACCAAACGCUUCCGCUAGCUUGUUCAAAUGUUUUUGA
rnacentral:lncRNA from 1 species